rnacentral:rRNA from 1 species
UCGAACAGACCUAAAUUUUUAGCUUCUACACCAAAAUUAAAUUUUAAUCCAACAUCGAGGUCGCAAUCUUUUCUUUCGAUUAGAACUCUCAAGAAAAAUUACGCUGUUAUCCCUAAGGUAAUUUAAUCUUUUAAUCUUUAUAAAGGAUCAUAUAUUCAUAUAUAAAUGUUUUUAUUAAAUAAAAGUUUAUCUAAUUUUUCAAUCACCCCAAUUAAAUUAAUUUUUUUAUAAAAAAAUAAAUUCUAAAAAUAUUUAUAUAUAAACUAAUAAAACUCUAUAGGGUCUUCUCGUCUUUUAUUACCAUUUAAGCUUUUUUACUUAAAAAUAAAAUUCUAAUAAAUUUAAAUAGAGACAGAUUUUUUCUCAUCUAACCAUUCAUUCCAGCUUUCAAUUAAAAAACUAAUGAUUAUGCUACCUUUGCACGGUCAAAAUACCGCGGCCAUUUAAUUCUUCAUUGGGCAGGCCAGACCUUAAAUUAAUUUCAAAAA